UUGUUUCCUGGCUUCCUGUGGACGUCCUGAGUGUGUUUCUCUCAGUCCGUAAGAGCGUUCUGAGUUUUUGCGGCCUUUCUCGGAGCGUUGUGUCAGAGUGUGUUUCUCUUUUUCUCCGUGUAUUUUUCUGUGUGUUUCAGGAUAAGUUUUUGUCUCUUUCUCUGUCUUUGUGUAAGCGUGUGGGUAGGUCUCGGUUUCUUGGUGUGUGUGUGUGUGUGUGUGUGUGUGUGUGUGUGUGUGUGUCCCCCACCCCCACCCUCUUCACCGCCAAGGGGCUCUAAAUCCACCAGGAUAAAACAGCCCCGAGCCUCCGCCUCCUUCCUUCCCCCUGCCGGGAACACCCGUCCCAACACCCAGGUCGGAAGAAGGGACCCCCGGCCCGGCCCGGCGCGAGGCUCGCAGGGCUCCCAGGCGCGGAGUCCCACUUUGCCCAACUUGUGGGCGCCCGGGGUGCAGCGCGCGGGCUCCGCGGCCCCAACAAAGAUUUCCAGCUUCUCUGGGAAAUUCAGAAGAUCUCUCAAAACACAGCCCAUAUGGCAUGGGUAGGAAUGAUUCAAAGUUCUGAGUAGGACUCCUCUCUGUCUCCAACACGGGAGGUGAGGCACAAGCAGUACCCUUCCUUCCAAUAUGUCUACACGCAAGGGGGUUUUCUCAAAAAAGCUGGCCUGGAUUGUCCAUCAUGGAGUUGCUCCCUGGCCUCUCUCCUUCCUGGUUCAGAGCAGAUACCAGCGGCUGGAGAAGGUCACACAGCAAGAUGGGCUUUGCCAUUGGUUCAUGAUAACAGGCCGAACACAGGCACUCAUUGCUGGUGAGCCAUCUGUCCCCAGGGACCCAGAUCUCACUCUCCUGCUCCCUUAGACAACAGCUUCAUUUCAUCAACCCCCUCACAGCCCUCUUCCACUCUCACUGGCUUCCUUCUGAAAGAAAAAAUGCGGUGCCUUCUUCACCCUUUGGUCAUGAAAUCUCUACACUUACCAGUGUUUUUACUCAUUCUUUCCUCUUCUGCUUCCGCUCUGAAUCCUGCCCCCUCCUUCUCAAGGUCCUGGACCCUUUGCCUUUUUCUAUGUUCUUCUGACUUACUAUCUCAGCCCAUCCUGCAGAAUUGCCAUCAGCAAACGAUUGAGCUCAUCUUAAAUACCGCUGUCUGCAUACCGAGUGCCUCUGUCUACCCGCCCAUGUCUCUGUUCCCUCUCAGCACUAAAAUUCUCCUUAUGUCUCAAUGCCAUCCAAAAAGCUGUCUCUCCUGGCUACCUCCAUUCGUUCUUCUGCCUGCUCAGAUCUGCCUGAUGCCCUGCCUUGCUCCAGAGAGUUGACUUCUCAAGGUCACUAUGAUCUCCGUGUCGCCAAAUGCCCUGGAUGUCCAUGUCUCUUUUUGACAGCAGUCUCUAACCCUGGGGCUGAAGAUGGGGGAGUUGGUGAGUACAUGGUAUAAUGGGUUAAGCUGUGUCCUCCAAAAAGACAAUGGGUAAGUUCAAGCCGGAAGAAGCAUGCCUAAGAAAAAUUUUAAAGCCAUACAAAAUAAGCAUUACACAUACAAGACAAAAUGCCUUUAUUUUUUUCCCCACAAAUUAAGUCAGAGGCUAAAAGCACAGGACCCAGAGACCACCUAUAUAGCACCAAGACUCCUGUUGCAACAGGUCCUUAUCUGAUACCUUGUCUUCCGACUCAGCCCUCUGACAUAUCUGAUUAUUUUUGACGAGUACAAUCAUCUCAACGACAGAGCCAUUCAGAACAUUUCAUUGAUACAGAAGCUCUUCCAAGAGGAUCUGUUUAACUGCUCCAGGGAUCUCUCUGCUGGUGAUGGCUUUUCUGUGGUUGUAGAAGGACAAUCUAACCACCUCCAGGCUAACCCGUUCCAGCAGCCAGUCCUCCAAAGAGCCCAGUGCAUCCGAGAUCCAGGAGCACCCACUGAAGUCUGGCCUUACCUCCUUGUGCCGACAUGAUCUCCAGCCACGCUGGGAAAACUCGCUCUUCCUCGGAUGUGUCCCUACGUUUUCUGGUCUCCAUACCACUGUUGAUCUCCCAUCUCUACCUACCAUGCUGACACCCAACCCCACCUUUCAAAGCUUAUCCACCCUUUAGGAUUCUUCCCCAAGAACCCCUCUGGCUUAUCUGUGUUCCACAACUUCCCACUAAAGAUUAGGGCUCUGUAUAUUCUCAGAACCUGCAUCACAUGCCACUUUAUGUCAUUCAUGACUUCGUCUAAAGUUAGAGGGGCAGCUGGAAUCAUCAGGAGAAUGAUCUCAGGUGCCCUGAGGAUCACCCACCCAGGACUCUAAUCCUAGCUCUGGAUGGGCAUGAGAUGUCAUAUAAGCAAGUAAUAUUCUCACAUUGGGCCUCAGUUUCUUUUUUUGUAAAAGGAAAGGCUUGAAGCAGUAUUUGAAAGGUUUCUCCAUGUCCUCCGUGGUCCCACCCUGCAGGACUUGUGAGCCCCUUUGCGAUACAGACCACAUCGUUUCCAUCUGAGCUCCCCAGCAGACCUGGCUUCUACCGAGACGCUCCAUACAUUAAUCCAACCAACAUGUUUUAUCCUCGCAUGCCCUGAGGGGCUGACCCAAGGCACAGACCCGACCCUUGGGAGACUUGCAGAAGCAGAGUGGCCUGCCAGACCCACGCAGUGAAGGACAGGCCAAGGACAGACUAAUGAUUAGAGGAUUACUCAGUCCAAGAACUUGCACAGAGAGCCCUUCCAGAAAAUGCAGGUUCUCCAGCUGCAGGUUCUCAGUGGGGGACAAUGUCUCUGGGCAUUUUCAGUUGGAAGACAGGGUGCUACUGGCAUCCAGUGGGUAGAGGCCAGGGAUGCUGCCCAGAAUCCCACCAUGCUCCAGACAGCUCCCACAACAAAGAAUGAAGCAGCCCCCAAACGUUAAGUGCUGGGGUUGAGAAACCAGGCCCUAUAUCACAUAUUUCUUUCCUUCUCCUAGCAUUCCUUCAUCCCAUUUUCCCCUUCUUCUCCUAGGAUAAGCAACAGAGUCCAAAUGAAACCCCUGGAAUACAGGGGGCUUUUGUAACCAUCACCCAUGAACACUCAGCCCUGCCCUAUCGUCAUGGAGAAAAUUCAAAAUCAAGCCUUCUUACAUCUGUCACAGAAUUACCCUCUUCUCUUCCCCGUAGCUUCUUCCAAAGGGAAAGCCUUCUCUGAUUUUGUUCUCUGCAACUGUAGGCUACGAAGUGAGGUUGGGUGGGCGGGAAGGAGGAACAAAAGCCUACCCAUGCUAGGUACAUUCGAAGUACAGAGCACCACUUAGUGAAGACCUGAUGUAAGUGCCUCUUCACAGAAUAAGAACAGACGAGGUGGUGAAUCCUCUCUCUGUAAGAGGGCAUUUAAGAAUCAAUUUCUAGAUUGCCUGUCAACAGAUCCAAGAGAGACACGAAGAGCUCAGGUGUUCAGAGUUACUGCCAACAGACAGUGAGCCCAGUGGGAAAAGAUAGCCACCAUCUGCAGAUCCAGUUUAUCGAAGCUGUUUGCACCCAACUUUUCAGGAACUUGGGGCGUGAAGAAGGACCCCUGUGUGAGAAAAGCUGAAGUCAAGAACACACCCAGGGCCACUCACAUGACACGGGUCUCGGCCAUUCUAAGCUUCCAUCAGGAGAGCCCCAACUCACUUGCUUUAGGAUUUUCCCCACGUAACCAAGAUAGGCCUCCUUCUUCUUCUUCCUCUUCUUCUUCCCAGAGGCUGAGCUGGCCCUCCCAUACUUCGCUUGGGCUGCAGUAUACAGCGUAGUCUUCUUCUUCGGGCAUCUUAGGUGGUGUAGGCAAACGCAGUACACGCGGAAGGCUUGAUCCUUAACACGUCUAGGUCACAGCACUGGCUGGAGGCAAGUGAGCGCCUCAAAGGGGUUUGCUAGGGGGAGCUGGAAGGCACGCUCUCCUAAUAAAAUCAGUGGUUAGUGACUGCACCUGCAGGAGACAAUACUCCCAGAACACUUACAAAAUACUAGGUGCGGAGUCUAAUAAGGCAGGCUGAUGGUACAUUCUGGAAAAGAGCUUGAGGUGGGAAACUCAAAAUGUUAGCCUUUCCUCUGUUCUUCCCAUGUAAAGGAGAGAGUGACCAUUUUGACCUGACGGCCAUUAAUUUACCAGGCAACACGGAUCUCCGCAGUGAUUCCUUGUACAUGUGUGACCCCAGGUGUUCUUAUUACAGUGGUUCUUGGCCACAAAGAUUUCCAUUCAAAAGGACUGAGCCUGGGAUCCUGGAAGCUGCAUCUUUUGCUAAAGUGUCCCAGGAGAUGAAUACUGCCAAAGCUCACCAGUUGAGAAACUCUGGGUGAACGGCAGGAGGAGAGGGAAUUUGGGGGACAGAUUAGAAGAUGUCACCUUGGGAAUGAUGUCACACUGUUCCUGGAGUGUCAGCACUAUAGAUACUAAUCGAAUAUUAAUGGUGGAUGAUAUUAGUACCGAAUAGUUGCUACUUUGUCAGGUGGAGGUAAGAAAAGAAUCCAAAUUUUUCCCAGCCCCAGCAAUAUCUUAUUUAACCUCUACACCAAGCUUUUAUUUUUUUAUUUAUUUUUUAUUUUUUGUAUUUUGAAUUUCCAGUUUUUUUGUUUGUUUAUUUUUAAUAUAUGUUUUAAAUUUAUACCCA